GGGUGAGUAACGCGUGAGAAUCUGGCUUUAGGUUCGGGACAACCACUGGAAACGGUGGCUAAUACCGGAUAUGCCUGAGGGUGAAAGGUUAACUGCCUGAAGAUGAGCUCGCGUCUGAUUAGCUAGUUGGUGGUGUAAGGGACUACCAAGGCGACGAUCAGUAGCUGGUUUGAGAGGAUGAUCAGCCACACUGGAACUGAGACACGGUCCAGACUCCUACGGGAGGCAGCAGUGGGGAAUUUUCCGCAAUGGGCGAAAGCCUGACGGAGCAAUACCGCGUGAGGGAGGAAGGCUCUUGGGUUGUAAACCUUUUUUUUCAGGGAAUAAGUACUGAAGGUACCUGAGGAAUCAGCAUCGGCUAACUCCGUGCCAGCAGCCGCGGUAAUACGGAGGAUGCAAGCGUUAUCCGGAAUGAUUGGGCGUAAAGCGUCCGUAGGUAGCAGUGUGUGUCUAUUGUUAAAGAGUUUGGCUUAACCAAAUAAAGGCGGUAGAAACUACACAGCUAGAGUGCGUUCGGGGCAGAGGGAAUUCCUGGUGUAGCGGUGAAAUGCGUAGAGAUCAGGAAGAACACCGGUGGCGAAAGCGCUCUGCUAGGC
rnacentral:rRNA from 1 species